GGGGAUAUAGGUCAGGGGUAGGGCGUUCCCUUAUCACGGGAGAGGGCUGGGGUUCAAUUCCCCAUAUCUCCA
rnacentral:tRNA from 1 species